CAUUCCCAAAGCUUAGGCAGGGUAGCAAAAAGCUAUAUGGAAUACCUAGUAUGGUAGAGUUAGAAAAUAUUUUGCAAGUUUUAUCACAAGUGUUUAAGCCAUUUGGAUUGAUAAUAGGUUCUGAGAAGAUUCAAAACGAACAGCUUGUUAAUUAUUUGGGAAAUGCUGUAGCUAGACAAUAGGUACUUCCACAAAAAUAGGCAGCUAAGACCAGAUUGCUGGAAAACAUUUAAUGUUUUCAAAAAUUAUUUGGAAAUAUUAAUUGGUUGUGUCCAUCUUUAGGGAUACCUACUUAUCAGCUACAUAAUUUAUUUAUGACAUUGCAGGGAGAUCCUGCCCCUGAAAGUAAAAGGGAACUAAUCUUAGAAGCAAAACAAGAAUUACAAAUAGUUGAAAAUCGUUUUAAGGAAAGCCUUUUGAGCUCUUUCCUUACUGAUGUCCCUGUUGAUGUGCUUAUAUUAAAUACUUUUCAGUAUCCAACUGGAAUAUUGGCUCAAAAAGAUCAUCCUUUAGAAUGGCUUUAUACUAGGAAUACUUUUUCUAAAGCUUUAACUAUUUUUGAAGAUAUGCUAUCUUUAUUGAUACAAAUGGGUUGUCAAAGAUGCAUACAAAUAAGUGGGUAUGAUUGUGCUUCUAUUAUAUUUCCUUUAACUAAAAAUAAAGUACAGUAUUUGUAUGCUAUAAGUAAAUCAUCACCGAUAACUUUAAUAAAUUUCAUGGGUCAAUUUAAA
rnacentral:lncRNA from 1 species